CUCCCUUGUCCCUUGCUACCGGCUGGGGAUGCUCGGCUCGCCAGCGAUGGGGAUGCUCGGCGGGCAGUCCCUGCUCUCAUUUUCCUCCAGCCUCUGGUAACCCUCCUCCUCACCUGCCUCGCUGAAGCGGGAUUCACAGGGAGCAUCAGGUACAUCUUAUGUGGGGAUGAACCAUCAGCUAAAGGGAGUGAUAGGAAAAUAUUUUGUUGAAUGCAAUGGGAAGGCGAAAAACGACACGCCUUGGCGAAGCAACUCUAAGAUUCGGUAAGGCUAAUCAAGUCUGCAAUCAAAUCCAAGAGCAGGGGCAGAGAAAAACAUUAAAAUACUUUUUAGGGCAGAGAAAACGUUAAAAUACUUUUUAGCUAUUGAUUGAAGUAACUGGUAAUUAGUAGCAGGAGCAACAAUUGUAGUAAGAACCUACCUAGGCAUAUUUUCUCUCUUUCCUAUCACAUGGCACAUUGAAUAACUUUAUAGUACAAAUACAUUCACAUAUGUUAUUUUAAAUUAUCAUGUGAUGGAGGUUCUCGUUAUUUCGAAUCUUUGGUCGGAACCUUCAUUUUGUGUUAUUAAAUGCACAUGGUAUUCAGUUAUCUCCAUUAUGGUGAGAAGACUUUGAUCUUGAUAUAUCAGAUUUAAGCCUCCUACACCAUAGGAGGUCCUCCUUUUGGUGAUAUUCACUCAUAUGUCAUUCUAAAUUAUCAUGUCAUGGAGGUGAUGGGUAUUUCGAAUCUUUGGUUGGAACCUUCAUUUUGCGUUAAAUUCACAUGGUAUUCAGUUAUCUCCAUUAUUGCCAGUAGCAAUGCACAAGCACUUUCUAUUAAAUGCACAUGCUAUUUUCUUUUGUAUCAUGUCAUUUUGUGGUCAUUAACAAUCAGAUGGAUGAAAUUGAUCUUGUUUUGUGCAUCAUGGAUUUUCCUCAACUGAAUGAGUAGAAACAUAAGUGUGUAAUGUAGUAGCCCCUCUAUUCCAUUGUUAUAAAUAUUAUAGUUUUUCAAUCUUCUGACCUGAUCGUAACAGCUGUUUAAAAGGAAGUGAUCACAUCACUAUUUAGAUUUUACUUUUUUUGUAUGCUUAAACAUAAGAUUAGUUUGUCCCCUUUCUUUUUACCCUUCAUGCUAACAUAAUAAAUACAUAUUUGAACUGAAUCGGUUGUAUUACAUAUGCCACGAAGGAUGUCGCCGCUUGAAGCUCAAUUUCCAUCAGCCCCUCUUUUAAUUCACUUGCAUUGUUUCAGCUUUGCAUUGUACUUCUUUGACGAAUUACCUCAUCCAAUCGGCUUUAAUUCGGAGCGUCAGUCUUACUAAUUAUCAUUGCCUUAACUUUUCAUAUGAACCUCUUACAGGAAA